ensembl:lncRNA
AUGUAUACCAGAAGCCACAAUGCCAGAUUAAUAGAAACUGAAUUGACAGAAAAGCAAUCUCCGUUGGAUAGCACUGUUGGGGAGAGGACCAUAAAACAAAAUAGAAAGAGAAAGUCAGAGAGAGAGAUGAAAGAUAAAAGAAGAUGUGUGCGGAGUGACAAAAGUUGAGGGGGAUAAUUUUAUAUCUGUCUCACUGCUGCCUGGAAAAGGAACUUUUCUGUCCACGGUAGGAACACCCUGGCUGGAGUACACUGGGGGUGAGACUAUCACAGACUAUCACUUUUUUUUGCAAAGUUUUACUUUAAGAAAUGGAAGCAAGUGGAAAAGGGUUAGCUACAGUUAAUUUCUACACAUUCUGCCACGGAUAGGAGCAGCUGUGAAUCAAGUGGUAGUGCAGGUUGUUUACCAAUCACAAUGUCAGCCAGAGAGCUGUAGGAAAAACAAUUUGCUUAAAGCGAUAAAAUAGAUUUUAAAUACAGCUCAGCGGGGGCAUUGCUAGGAUCUUCAAACACUGGAGCACCAGACAAAACACACUGGCCGUACCGGAAGAACAAAACUCCCCCCACCAUACUAUUCCGGUUGGACUAGUCCCCCACAGUUAUGAUGGAGGAUCACUAACAGGAGCGUGGGAAGACUCCAGAAUCCACUCUGGCUGGAAUCCGGUGGAUACAGCAGUGUUACAGCAGAUAAAGCCAAUGGCAGAAGAUGUUUGGAGAAGAACUUCAGGCCGUGGACUGAAAAGGUAUUUUUUUCUUUUUUUUUUUAACCUGUCCCGUUUGGUUCUUUUGCCAUCAGAAUUAUUGUCUAAAGGCGAAGAAAGAUGCCCAACGGAUUUACUUUACCAAAUGGACCAUCCCAGCCUUGCCGUAAUGGUCCAUUUGAUUCACCUUUUAUUGUUUAUUUUAUUUUCACUUGCUGAAUACGGGACAGAGUUAACUGGGGGAAGGAAAGGGGAGA